AUGGUUGUCGUGGACAGGCUCACCAAAUCAGCGCACUUCAUUCCGCUUCGUCAUCCCUUCAAAGCCCCUCAGGUGGCCAAGGUCUUUUGGGAUCAGGUCGUCAAGCUGCACGGCAUUCCGAGCUCCAUCGUCUCCGACCGCGAUCGCGUCUUCACCAGCGCUCUCUGGCGCGAGCUCUUCGCCAGUGCGGGCACCAAGCUGCUCUUCUCCACGGCGUACUACCCCCAGACGGAUGGCCAGAGCGAACGCGUCAACCAGUGCAUGGAAAUGUACUUGCGUUGCGCCAUGCACGACGCGCCCCGGCAAUGGCGUCGAUGGCUACCAACCGCAGAAUUCUGGUACAACUCGUCGUUCCAUUCCUCGAUCAAAUGCUCCCCCUUCAAAGCUCUGUACGGCGGCGAGCCCAACCUGGGCGCCAUGGCACUCUGGGGCGACAAGACGGUGCCCAUGAUCGACGGCGAGCCUUGGGACUGGGGCGUGCACACGGCACGGCUGCGCGACCACAUUCUCCGUGCCCAGCACAGAUUCAAGAAGCAGGCGGAUCAGCACCGCACGGAGCGCUCCUUCGAGGUGGGCGACACUGUUCUCCUAAAGCUCCAACCCUACGCACAGUCGUCGGUGGCAAACAGGUCCUGUGCUAAGCUGGCGUACAAGUACUUCGGGCCCUUCUCGGUGCUCGACAGGAUC
rnacentral:rRNA from 1 species